rnacentral:rRNA from 1 species
GUGGGGAAUAUUGGACAAUGGGCGAAAGCCUGAUCCAGCCAUGCCGCGUGUGUGAAGAAGGUCUUCGGAUUGUAAAGCACUUUAAGUUGGGAGGAAGGGCAGUAAGUUAAUACCUUGCUGUUUUGACGUUACCGACAGAAUAAGCACCGGCUAACUUCGUGCCAGCAGCCGCGGUAAUACGAAGGGUGCAAGAGUUAAUCGGAAUUACUGGGCGUAAAGCGCGCGUAGGUGGUUUUGUAAGUUGGAGGUGAAAUCCCCGGGCUCAACCUGGGAACUGCCUCCAAAACUGCAUGACUAGAGUACGGUAGAGGGUAGUGGAAUUUCCUGUGUAGCGGUGAAAUGCGUAGAUAUAGGAAGGAACACCAGUGGCGAAGGCGACUACCUGGACUGAUACUGACACUGAGGUGCGAAAGCGUGGGGAGCAAACAGGAUUAGAUACCCUUGUAGUCC